UAAAAAUCAUCUUUAUUUUACCUUUGUGUAUUUCAUAUGGAGAAUAAUUUGUCCUAAAUGUAGUUUCUUAUGUCCAGAUGCAGUGGUCAGCGAUCCUCAUGUUUCUGUGGGGUUCGGGUUCUUCCACUGGUUGCUGUUGGUAGUCUGUGGGUGGGCAAACGCUAGCAAUGUGGUGGAGAUCCUGUGUGUUCCUCUUGCCCACGGCACGCUGUGACCUCCAUCUCACCUUGGCCGACAUGGGGCUCCUUACCACCAGCAUAUUCCUUGGUUAUUAACUGUGCUGCUUUCUUUUUUAUUUGAUUUUCUAAUCAUGUUAUUUUUUUUAAAAUUAGGUAUUUGUAAUUCAUUCAUUGUGUGAAAACUAAUGGUCUUUUUGCUUAAAGGUCAAAGGAGGAAAAUCUAACUUUUUAUCAAAAAAGUAAAUCGGGUCAAAAAUGCAGUUUGUUCCCUAUUUGGUUGAACUUUGGUUGCCUUAUCACAUGUCUGAAAACGGCAAACUCAUGCUCAUAGUUUUCAGUUUUUUUUCCGUAAGAAAUACAAAACUGACCCAGUUAUUCAAACUGCUGACAUAACCAUGUGAUUUGAGUAUCAUGCUGCUAAGUAAGACGUAAUGUGUCAACCGGCUGCUUAUUUUGACAGGAAUGAUGUUGGUUGGUUAUGUUUGGGGGUAUCUGGCUGAUCGCAGAGUAAGGUGGAGGUGGAACGUUCCGAUAAUUUCUCUGGCAGUGAAUGGCGUAUUUGGGGCAGUGGCCAGUUUAGCCACGAGGUUCUGGCUCUUUUUGCUCCUGCUGUUCUUCAGGGGUCUGCGGCUCCAUUCCUGUCAUCUUCUCCUAUUUUUCGAAGUUUCAGCCACGUUUGAGGAGGGGGGCAAUGAUCAGCACUCUAGCCACCUUCUGGGUGGCUGGAAAUAUUUUAGCAGCAGGUGUGGCAUGGUUGCUGAUUCCCACAACAUCUUUGAAUGCUCAUUGGGGCUGGUUGAAUUUUCAGAGUUGGCAUCUUUUUGUAGUCCUCCGUCCUCAGUCUGUCAUCAGCACUGAUUUUCAGACUGUUCAUGCCAGAGAGCCCCAAGUUUCUAAUGGAGGUGUGUACUGACUGAUACUUUACUUUUUUUUUGAGACUGAUAUAAAAGUUCAAUUAAUAGGCUGUAAAUUCU
ensembl:lncRNA